UACGGAGGGAGCUAGCGUUGUUCGGAAUUACUGGGCGUAAAGCGCACGUAGGCGGCUUUGUAAGUUAGAGGUGAAAGCCCGGAGCUCAACUCCGGAACUGCCUUUAAGACUGCAUCGCUUGAAUCCAGGAGAGGUGAGUGGAAUUCCGAGUGUAGAGGUGAAAUUCGUAGAUAUUCGGAAGAACACCAGUGGCGAAGGGCGGCUC
rnacentral:rRNA from 1 species